UACGUAGGGGCCUAGCGUUGUCCGGAUUUAUUGGGCGUAAAGAGCUCGUAGGCGGUUUGGUUAGUCAGGUGUGAAAUCUCCACGCUCCAACGUGGAGGGGCCCACCUGAUACUGCCAUGACUUGAGUCCGGUAGGGGAGUGUGGAAUUCCCGGUGUAGCGGGUGAAAUGCGCAGAUAUCGGGAGGAACACCCGUAGCGAAGGCGGCACUCUGGGCCGUGACUGACGCCUGAUGUGCGAAAGCGUGGGAGCAAACAGG
rnacentral:rRNA from 1 species